AACCUGGUUGAUCCUGCCAGUAGUCAUAUGCUUGUUUCAAGGACUAAGCCAUGCAAGUCUCAGAGUAAAUGGAUCACAGUAGGUCUGCAGACAGCUCAUUAAACCAGCUUCAAUCUACGCGGAGAAACUGCCUUUUGGCAGACCAUUGGAUAACUUUGGUAACCCCAAAGCUAAUACAUGUCAGUAAAACCUGCACAGAUUCCACCCUGAGGCCCCGGUCUUGGGGCUGUGCCAGGUGCAAUUGACCGAAACAAAAACCAACGCUAGCAAUAGCAGUGGUGAUUGGAUGACUCAGGUCAAUCGAGUAGUAGCGCAUUCUUCGGAGGCGCUUGUCCGCAUGAGAAUCUGCCCUAUCAGCUUUUGACGGUAGUGUAGUGGACUACCGUGGCUGUAACGGGUAACGGGGAAUUAGGGUUCGAUUCCGGAGAGGGAGCCUGAGAAACGGCUACCACAACUAAGGUUGGCAGCAGGCGCGCAAAUUGCCCAAUAGCAACACAUCGCUGAGGCAGCGAAGAGAAAUAGCAACUUCAUGCGGCCCUGCCGUGUGAAGAUUGCCAUGGACGAUAUCUAAACCUGUCGGUGAGUAUCAAUUGGUGGACAAGUCUGGUGCCAGCACCCGCGGUAAUUCCAGCACCAAUAGC
rnacentral:rRNA from 1 species